UCGCCGCCCUCCCUUAUCACUCUUCUGCUCCAGCCCUGAGGUUUUAAUUCCGCUGGACGGAGGACUGAUAAGUGUGGGCGGGGU
rnacentral:pre_miRNA from 1 species